rnacentral:rRNA from 1 species
UGAGGAAUAUUGGGCAAUGCCCGCAAGGGUGACCCAGCAACGCCGCGUGGAGGAUGAAUGUCGUAAGAUUGUAAACUCCUGUUAGAGGUGAAGACUAGUACCGGUUGGACCGGUAUAUGACUGUACCCUCAGAGAAAGCCCCGGCUAACUACGUGCCAGCAGCCGCGGUAAUACGUAGGGGGCAAGCGUUGUCCGGAUUUACUGGGUGUAAAGGGCGCGCAGGCGGGAUAAAAAGUCAGUGGUGAAAUCCUACAGCUUAACUGUAGAACUGCCUUUGAUACUUUUAUUCUUGAGUUCGGGAGAGAGAGACGGAAUUCCAGGGGUAGUGGUGAAAUACGUAGAUAUCUGGAAGAACACCAGUUGCGAAGGCGGUCUCUUGGUCCGACACUGACGCUGAGGCGCGAAAGCGUGGGGAGCAAACA